CUACUACUCCCUUUGUCCCAAAUUUCUUGUCUUAGAUUUGUCUAGAUACAGAUGUAUCUAAUACUAAAAUGUGACUUGAUACAUCCAUAUCUAGACAAAUCUAAGACAAGAAUUUUGGGACGGAGGGAGUACUUU
rnacentral:pre_miRNA from 1 species